CUCAAACUAAUAUGUCCCCAGCUUUAUUACAAUAUUGUUGUAUGCUCUGACCCCGCUGGAAUACAUUUGACUUGUUGUUUUUGGAGACUUUUGUAGAAAUUUCGUUCUUGGCCAUUUUGCUGAAGCAGAGCAGAACGUUGUUGAGAUCCAAAGGUUUUCUCCAGGGAAUCUCUCCUCAUCUCAGUCAUCAUGUCUGAAAAGCCAAGGGUGUACCAGGGCGUCCGGGUAAAGACCACAGUGAAAGAGCUGCUGCAGAGACACCGAGCCCGGGAGGCCAGCAGUAAGAAGCUCCAAACGGUUUACUUGGAACAAAAGGAGCUUUGCAUGCCCACCCAUCCAAGUAAGUGAGAAAGUCUAACCAUUUAUUCAUUAAAUCAUUCAUUCGCUGAUUUAUUAGAUUUUUU